rnacentral:rRNA from 1 species
GUGUCAGCAGCCGCGGUAAUACGAAGGGUGCAAGCGUUACUCGGAAUUACUGGGCGUAAAGCGUGCGUAGGUGGUUCGUUAAGUCUGAUGUGAAAGCCCUGGGCUCAACCUGGGAAUGGCAUUGGAAACUGGCGACCUAGAGUGCGGUAGAGGGUAGUGGAAUUCCCGGUGUAGCAGUGAAAUGCGUAGAGAUCGGGAGGAACAUCCGUGGCGAAGGCGACUACCUGGACCAGCACUGACACUGAGGCACGAAAGCGUGGGGAGCAAACAGGAUUAGAAACCCCUGUAGUCC